CCUACGGGUGGCAGCAGUGGGGAAUAUUGGACAAUGGGCGAAAGCCUGAUCCAGCCAUGCCGCGUGUGUGAAGAAGGCCUUCGGGUUGUAAAGCACUUUCAGUGGGGAAGAAAGCCUUGGGGCUAAUACCCUCGAGGAAGGACAUCACCCACAGAAGAAGCACCGGCUAACUCCGUGCCAGCAGCCGCGGUAAUACGGAGGGUGCGAGCAUUAAUCGGAAUUACUGGGCGUAAAGCGCGCGUAGGCGGUCUGAUAAGCCGGUUGUGAAAGCCCCGGGCUCAACCUGGGAACGGCAUCCGGAACUGUCAGGCUAGAGUGCAGGAGAGGAAGGUAGAAUUCCCGGUGUAGCGGUGAAAUGCGUAGAGAUCGGGAGGAAUACCAGUGGCGAAGGCGGCCUUCUGGACUGACACUGACGCUGAGGUGCGAAAGCGUGGGUAGCAAACAGGAUUAGAUACCCUCGUAGUC
rnacentral:rRNA from 1 species